rnacentral:rRNA from 1 species
UACGAGUGCCCCGAGCGUUAUCCGGAAUCAUUGGGCGUAAAGGGUGCGUAGGUGGCGGGGCAAGUUUGGUGUGAAAUCCCGGGGCUCAACCCCGGAACUGCACUGAAUACUGCCUUGCUUGAGCACUGGAGAGGGAACUGGAAUUUACGGUGUAGCAGUGAAAUGCGUAGAUAUCGUAAGGAAGACCAGUGGCGAAGGCGAGUUCCUGGACAGUUGCUGACACUGAGGCACGAAGGCUAGGGGAGCAAACGGG